UCGUCAAUUUGGUUGUGAACUC
rnacentral:miRNA from 1 species